UCAGCCGGCCGGGCGGCCGCUCUCGCCAAUCGCCGAAAGGUGGCGGGGGAGGAAAGUCCGGGCUCCACGGAGAGACGGUGCCGGAUAACGUCCGGCGAGGGUGACCUCAGGGAUAGCGCCACAGAAAACAGACCGCCCAUUCGACUUCGUGCGGAAGGGUAAGGGUGAAACGGCGGGGUAAGAGCCCACCGCGUUGCCGGUAACGGGAACGGCACGGCAAGCCCCACCGGGAGCAAGACCGAAUAGGAACGACGCGGACGGCCGAUGGUCGUCCAUCCGAUCUCCGGGACAGUCGUUCGGGUGGGUUGCUCGAGGCGUCUCGCAAGAGGCGUCCCAGAGGAAUGGUCGCCGCGCGCUUUCGCCGUCUGGCGGUGCGCGAACAGAACCCGGCUUACAGGCCGGCUGACACU
rnacentral:RNase_P_RNA from 1 species